rnacentral:misc_RNA from 1 species
UGGUUCUGGCAUCGAUGAAGAACGCAGCGAAAUGCGAUAAGUAAUGUGAAUUGCAGAAUUCAGUGAAUCAUCGAAUCUUUGAACGCACAUUGCGCCCCCUGGUAUUCCGGGGGGCAUGCCUGUUCGAGCGUCAUUUCAACCUUCAAGCUUUGCUUGGUAUUGGGUGCCCAUCCUUUUUGGGGAUGCACCUGGAAAUUAGCGGCGGUGCGGCCGGUGAUCAAGCGUAGUAACUACUUCCGCUUAGAGCCGCCUGGACGUGUCUGCCGGACAACACCCCUAUUUUUCAAUGGUUGACCUCGGAUCAGGUAGGGAUACCCGCUGA